UCAAACUGAUUGCUCCUGUGACGUCUGUCUCAUCUGAUCGUCUCGUCACGUCUCACUGUGUGAAUCUGAAUCAUGAGAUCAUCUGUGAUUCUGAUAGAUCCAGAUACGAGACUGUCUUCAAAGUGUGGAAUGAGACUGACUCCAUCAGCGGAUCGACACCAGAAUCUCCAGAAUCACCUCAGUUGUGGUGGUUGUUUGCUCUUUUCAUCAUUGUUCUUCUCAUCAUCUCGAUCUGUUUCAUGCUGCGUAAAAGGAUCUUCAGGGCAGCGCUGAGCAUGUUACUGUGUAAUGAAUGUGAAAACAGGGAUCCUGAAUCUGCUGUACAAACACAGGACAGAUCUGAUGAUCAUCACUCACUGAAUAAAUCUGAAUCUGAGC